rnacentral:rRNA from 1 species
GACGAACGCUGGCGGCGUGCCUAAUACAUGCAAGUAGAACGCUGAAGAGAGGAGCUUGCUCUUCUUGGAUGAGUUGCGAACGGGUGAGUAACGCGUAGGUAACCUGCCUUGUAGCGGGGGAUAACUAUUGGAAACGAUAGCUAAUACCGCAUAACAAUGGAUGACACAUGUCAUUUAUUUGAAAGGGGCAAUUGCUCCACUACAAGAUGGACCUGCGUUGUAUUAGCUAGUAGGUGAGGUAAUGGCUCACCUAGGCGACGAUACAUAGCCAACCUGAGAGGGUGAUCGGCCACACUGGGACUGAGACACGGCCCAGACUCCUACGGGAGGCAGCAGUAGGGAAUCUUCGGCAAUGGGGGCAACCCUGACCGAGCAACGCCGCGUGAGUGAAGAAGGUUUUCGGAUCGUAAAGCUCUGUUGUAGGUCAAGAACGGGUGUGAGAGUGGAAAGUUCACACUGUGACGGUAGCUUACCAGAAAGGGACGGCUAACUACGUG